GUUAGCAUGGCAGAACUAGGUAUAGCAAGAGGCCUAAGCCCUUUUUAUGGAAGUUCAAAUCUUCCUUCUAACU
ensembl:Mt_tRNA